rnacentral:rRNA from 1 species
GACGAACCGUGCGAACGUUGUUCGGAAUCACUGGGCUUAAAGGGCGCGUAGGCGGCAGAUCAAGUCCGGGGUGAAAUCCUCCAGCUCAACUGGAGAAGUGCCUUGGAUACUGAUGUGCUCGAGGGAGGUAGGGGCCCGCGGAACUUCUGGUGGAGCGGUGAAAUGCGUUGAUAUCAGAAGGAACGCCGGUGGCGAAAGCGGCGGGGCUGGAUCUCUACUGACGCUGAGGCGCGAAAGCUAGGGGAGCAAACGGG